ACGGCUCAGUAACACGUGGCUAACUUGCCCUGAGGACCGGUACAACCCCGGGAAACUGGGGCUAAUCCCAGAUAGGCAGGGAGGCCUGGAACGGUUCCCUGCUGAAAAGGGGUUGAGGCCAUGCUUCUCAACUUCGCCUCAGGAUAGGGCCGCACCCGAUCAGGUCGUUGGUGAGGUAACGGCUCACCAUGCCUAUAACCGGUACGGGCCGUGAGAGCGGGAGCCCGGAGAUGGGCACUGAGACAAGGGCCCAGGCCCUACGGGGCGCAGCAGGCGCGAAAACUCCGCAAUAUGCGAAAGCGUGACGGGGUCACCCCGAGUGCCGUCCGCUGAGGAUGGCUUUUGCCGGGUGUAAUGAGCCAGGUGAAUAAGGGGAGGGCAAGUCUGGUGUCAGCCGCCGCGGUAAUACCAGCUCCCCGAGUGGUUGGGAUGAUUAUUGGGUUUAAAGCGUCCGUAGCCGGCCUGAGGUGUUCCCCGUCAAAUCCAACGAUCCAAUCGUUGGGCUGCGGGGAAUACUCUUUGGCUUGAGGGCGGGGGAGGUCGGCGGUAUUCCCGGAGUAGGGGCGAAAUCUUAUAAUCCCGGGAGGACCACCAGUGGCGAAGGCGGCCGACUAAAACGCGCCUGACGGUGAGGGGCGAAAGCUGGGGGAGCAAAUGGGAUUAGAUACCCCAGUAGUCCCAGCUGUAAACGAUGCGGGCUAGGUGUUGAGGCGGGUAAGGCCCGACUCAGUGCCGCAGGGAAGCCAUUAAGCCCGCCACCUGGGAAGUACGGUCGCAAGGCUGAAACUUAAAGGAAUUGGCGGGGGAGCAC
rnacentral:rRNA from 1 species